AUUUAUAUAGUUUAAAGUAAAACAUUACAUUUUCAUUGUAAAAACAAAUUAAUCAUUUUUGUAAAUA
rnacentral:tRNA from 1 species